CGCCACCUCACUUCCAUUGCACCCAUUUGAAUUCAUGAGAAGGAACUUCUCAUGAAUUUUUUCCUCAUGCCAAGCCCUCUCCACGCCCCACUUUAAUGUGCCAUUUGAAUGGAUAAGGAUGAUUGGUUGGCCAUUCAAAUUCAAAAUAAAGUUUGAAUUUGAAUGGGCAAUCAAUCUUUGCACCUUAUCUCUUUUUUUACGCCCCAUUUAUUACAUGAGAAACAAUUUCUCAUGAAAUCACUCCAUGCUCAAUUUAAGCUAUGUCUCAUGCCUUUAGUGGAUAAGGGAUGAGUUGGUGUCCAUUUGAAUUCAAAAUUUGAUUUGAACUCAAAUGUGCAAUUACUCAUCUUUAUCUUUUCUUUUGGAUAAGACGUUUGAUGUUGUUAUAAAAGGAGGAGAAGAGUGGGGCAUGCAUGAAGAAGAUUUUUGGAGAAAAAUUUUGAGGUGUGAGGAAGUCUUGUGAGUGAGAAGAAAGUCCAUAUCCUUUCAAGAGAAAAAAAAAGAAAAGAAAGAAAAGUGGGUGCAAGGUUUCCGGUGAGUUUCCUAGAGUUUUAGCCUGGGGUUCGGGAAGUGAGAA
rnacentral:lncRNA from 1 species